rnacentral:rRNA from 1 species
GUCGAACGCUUCAGAAAUGAAGAGUGGCAGACGGGUGAGUAACGCGUGGGAACCUUCCCAGUGGUACGGAAUAGCCCAGGGAAACUUGGGGUAAUACCGUAUAAGCCCUUCGGGGGAAAGAUUUAUCGCCAUUGGAUGGGCCCGCGUCGGAUUAGCUUGUUGGUGAGGUAAAAGCUCACCAAGGCGACGAUCCGUAGCUGGUCUGAGAGGAUGAUCAGCCACACUGGGACUGAGACACGGCCCAGACUCCUACGGGAGGCAGCAGUGGGGAAUAUUGGACAAUGGGCGCAAGCCUGAUCCAGCCAUGCCGCGUGAGUGACGAAGGCCUUAGGGUUGUAAAGCUCUUUUGGCGGGGACGAUAAUGACGGUACCCGCAGAAUAAGCUCCGGCUAACUUCGUGCCAGCAGCCGCGGUAAUACGAAGGGAGCUAGCGUUGUUCGGAAUCACUGGGCGUAAAGCGCACGUAGGCGGAUUUGUUAGUCAGGGGUGAAAUCCCGGGGCUCAACCUCGGAACUGCCUUUGAUACUGCAAGUCUGGAGUCCGGAAGAGGUGGGUGGAAUUCCUAGUGUAGAGGUGAAAUUCGUAGAUAUUAGGAAGAACACCGGUGGCGAAGGCGGCCCACUGGUCCGGUACUGAC